GUGCACCAGGCGAGAAACCUCUGCAAUAGGCGAAAGCCUGACAGGGUUACUCUGAGUGAUUUCCGCUAAGGGGAUCUUUUGGCACCUCUAAAAAUGGUGCAGAAUAAGGGGUGGGCAAGUCUGGUGUCAGCCGCCGCGGUAAUACCAGCACCCCGAGUGGUCGGGACGAUUAUUGGGCCUAAAGCAUCCGUAGCCGGUUCUGCAAGUCUUCCGUUAAAUCCAGCCGCUCAACGGAUGGGCCGCGGAGGAUACUAUAGGACUAGGAGGCGGGAGAGGCAAGCGGUACUCAGUGGGUAGGGGUAAAAUCCUUUGAUCCAUUGAAGACCACCAGUGGCGAAGGCGGCUUGCCAGAACGCGCUCGACGGUGAGGGAUGAAAGCUGGGGGAGCAAACCGGAUUAGAUA
rnacentral:rRNA from 1 species